ensembl:lncRNA
AUCCAUACCUUAUUUCAUAUCAAUUCCUGACUCAGCUUUGAUGUCAGUGGGAUCUUCAUUAGCAGUGGCUGUUACCCAGGCAUAUUCUGGAAGGGGACCUGUCGAAUCUGUAACCAAAUAUGAACAAUCAUUUUAACAAGAAAGAGCCUGAUCUGGUCCCAUAGACAACGCUCUAUUGCCCUCCCUUCUACCUUGAAAAAUGUGAGCUUUUACAAUCUGUUGCAUGCCACCAAAACCUUUUUCUUGCCCUCUUGAGCUCAAGGAACAUUUUGGCUUGCUAAGUACAUUCUCAGAACUCUCACUGUUGUUUGGAUUUCAGGAAAGCACCAGGAGAGACAUCUCAGCCCCUACUGCAGAACAAGGACAAAGGAGUGGAAAGAAAUUACGUCGCAACGGAAGAGCCAAGCAAAGAGAAAGGGAAAGAUUCCACUGAGGCACUGAGUCUGCAACUCCAAUUUGAUGGCCGUGCCCAGGACCCUGGUAAGAUAAUUCUCCAUUGUUUAAUAAUUGUUUCAAAGCACUCUCAAGCUGCAUGGGGACAGUAUAGCAGUUCAGUCAGUUUAUCAAUCAUCAAGCAAUCAAUGCGACAUGCACAUUAGUUUUUCAUGUCAUUGAAAGAACGGCCAUGCCAUGCUUCCCUCAGCUAGAGCUGAUUUCAUUAGCACAUGGGUGAGAACACAACCCUUUUAGACUGUGUGGACCAGAUCCUUCUCUGGACCCAACACCAAAGACCAACUUUGACAGGUGAGUAGGGCAACCCAUCAGUCACAUGACAUCAUCAUACUGAUGGAUAGUUGACAGGUGGGCAUUUACCUCUUCCAUCUAAUUACCUUGUGACACCGGCCUUGAAGCCUUAACGGGAGACAGCUGUAUGUAAGCUCAUUCUUUCUGAGGUUCUAACCCAUUCCCAUAAACCAGUCUUAAAGGGCAAUAAUGCCACAACCUCCUGCAUUGGAAGAGUGCAGGAUUGACCUCCCCACACCUCAGCAAUUUUGCUUUCUGCAGGGAUUGGGUGCAUAUCUGAACUGGGCAGGACUGACCUCUUUGCAUAUCAACUGAUGUUGGGGAAGCCAAUACUACUUUCUGCAGGAACCAAUUGUGCACAUCAGUUCUCACGAGGAACAGGCACAUGCAGCCAUACCAUUGCAGUUCAGCAGCUGAAAAGUGGGUGGUUCUGUCCUGCUUCUUUAGGGAUCAAUUUCCCCCAUUCAUCAGCUGAUGCCAGCUGCUCAGUGGGAUGAUGCCACCUGAUUAAGAGGUGGGCAUGGUUUCAGGAGAAACUGUUUUAUAUUUUUAACAAAAAAAUCUCAAAGCGGUUUACAACCUACAUUAAAACAUCAUAUAAAACAAUCCAGAAUAAAAUAUUACAGAAGAAAGUCAAGCAUACAUUCAAAGCAGCAUAAUGACCAGGAAACAAAAACAUUAACUUAUAAGAUUCAAAAUAAAACCUUGCUAACGGAAGUCACAUAUAAAAUGCACAAUUAAAACAGCAUAAUUAGCAGGAGCAUGAAAUAUUAUCAUAAGCACAGAACAUAUCGGCUGCUGUUGCUGCCAGUCCUGCCAAUGGUGGUUCAUGGCGGCUGUGAAAGCUCAGGCUUGAUGACCUGGAUCUGCAAUAAGACAGAAAGAUUACAUGUCACAGCAGUCAGUGAACCCACAAUCUAUAACUGGCUCUCUGGCAAGGAUGACAGACUGAGAACCAUGUGGGUCUAAUGAUAUUAUCAGGCUGUGUAGAUCCCUGUAGGAUGCCAUAACUUUGGACUGGGAAGUUUGAAGGUUCCAAAUGAAACAAAUGCUAGGUUUGAACUACAGAUGCCAUAGGGCAAGACCACUUAUAACCUCCACGUUUGUAGCUUUAAAAAAAUGAUUUCAUACAAAAUCAGGCAUGAAUGAAACCAAUGCAGAAAACAGGCUAGAAGUAUUGAAGCAGAGACAGUGUGGGUGUGCAGUGUGGGAUUGUUGUUGGGCAGAUGGAGAAGGCAAAGAAUGGGGACGUGGAGCUAAACUGGACAAAGGCCUAAUGUUGUUCCUUGUUUUAUGUCCUUAGUCACUGGCCAAUAUUACCUGUUUGACAGCAGCACUGGAGCACGGCGCUGGGUGUGAGCAUGCCCUAUUCCAUCUUAAGGAGUGAGGCACAGGUGUACACAGAUAAAAAGGAGAAACAGGGUUUUCUGCACAGCACCAAUACUGUUAUUUACAUAUACAUAUAAAAAAUUGUUACCUGCUGUUUAUGUUGGGCUGGCAACUAGCCUUUCCUAUCAUGCGCCCCUAAUUGUUUACAUUGACUUGUGCAUGUUCCUGGGGAAUCAGAGAAACCUCUAAGAGCCUCUCCACUGGCAAGCUGUUUUCCUCCUGGCUAGUCUUCAUCUGAUAAACUUCAAGAUCUGACAACUUGGGUUGCUACCUUUGUUUCUUACCCUGCUCUAGAACUUUGUUCUGAUCCAGCAGGGCUCUUGUGUUCUUAUGUUCUCUGUGAAAGUUGUGCCAUAAUAAAGGAUGUGCCUUUGAUUGUGUAUAGAAAGCCUUUCUUUGACUAACUACUAAGUUAGCACAACCAUUUCCAAAAUAUCUGAUACUAGGGGUAGGGAGGUUAACAGGCCAAAGAGCAAGUUCUAAACUUGUGCGUUUCCAUUAUGUUCUAAGAAGAGCUAAGAUGUUAUCUUUAAAAUAAGAGGGGGAGGGGGAGAGCAGAGCCUAUUGGGUGCGUCUUUCCUAAUAGCUCCCCCCCCAAAAAAAACCCACCCCAACCUGGAGCCAGCCUUGUGGCUUGCCCUUAACAUCAAAUGAACCAUUGUCUCUUGACCCAGCUCCCUGAACAAAAUGCCUUAAAUUGGCAUGUCUGGUAUUGAGAACAUCAUAUUAUUUUGUGCACCCUGACGUUUCCUGAAUUUUGAUGACACAUGUUAUCAUCAAACCACACUGAACACUGACAACAAUUUUCAUGUGUGAGGCAGGUCAGAACAAACUUGGAGACCCUACCAUGAAGCAUACAACUGCAAGGAUUGAUUACUAAUGUGUUAUAUAUAUAGGAUGGCAUUUGGAAUGUUAAAGAGUGUUCAAUGACACUUAGUAAACCAGUUAAUCACUCCCAUUUGUUAGAUACAGAGAGCUGAUCAAAGAAGGACACCUUAAUCUGAUUGACAGCUCUAUUGCAGGGACAUUUCUGUAACAUCAGGAUGCCCCAUUUGUGUAUCUGUCUUCCCUUUUAAAUUCUCUUGGCUGAGGUAAGGUGAGCUCUGCCAUGGGAACCACAGGUAUAACCUUUGGUUACCCCAGAAUGACAAAUAAAUGAGAGCUUCAAUAGAGAAGUGAAAGCUGGAAGCGGGUUUUUUUAGUUCCAGUUAGUUUCAAAAAGCCCCCAUUGUUUCUGCAUUAGCUAUGCAGAACCACACACUCGUCUCUCACACAUAAGAGCAGUGCAAAAGAACAAGAAGCUAGAGCUCAAAACCUCUGCUGAGCAGAGGCCACCUGGCAUAGAUUCUCUAUUUCUCUUUUUCCCCACUGCUCUUAAGUUGCCAAGCUGUAAGACGCCCUACUGGCUAGAAAGCUGUGAACACCCUGGGGCAGAGUCACAUAGGACCUUUGCAGACUAGAGCAGGUUUUGGGCAGGUGUAUUCUGCAACAUGGCAUAAACACAGUAACAGUGCUUUAGCGGUGAAUUUUUGUUUGGCACAUCAUUCCACUUUAUUAGGUUUUUUUUAUGCUUCCCCAGUGUUAUCACACUAUUAUUGUCUAGAAGGGCACUCUAGUGCAAUGGGCCAACCCCCCCCCCCAUCAUACAGGAAUGUGGUAUGAAAAGUAACAGGUCUUCAGCUAAAUGCUACAGGACAUGGACAGACUGGAAAUGAAGCAGUGUGACCUCCCCAAAACUUUUGCAGGCACAAACAGUAUUGAUACCAGAAGUACAUAUGGCCAACCCAAUAGCAUAAUGGGCACAAAUCAUCAGAAACGUGCAAUAAAAAGGACAUGGGGGGCCACAAAUGUUUUGAAACGGGGAAGAUUUGCAUUGGCUGAAUAUUAACCUUAUGCCGCAUAUGUACUAAUCCACUGUAGAUGACGGCAAUUUACAGAAUUAGUAUUGGCAAUGUAAUCUGCAUACCUACACUGUACAGGCAAUCUGGAUACAGGAAUCCACAUAACUUGAAAAGCUACCUGCUCUCAACAAGACAUCUAGUUUUAUGUUUGGAGGUUUUAGUAAAUUUUUGGUAGACUGUUUCCACUUCUAGUUAGCAUGAGAUGGUGGUUAUUUCUGGGCAAGUAAUGUAAUUUACUAUGGUGUUUUUUUACCAAGCCAUGUGUAAUCCUGUGUAAGGGAGAGGGUCGGG